AUUGAACGCUGGCGGCAGGCUUAACACAUGCAAGUCGAGCGGAGAGAGGUAGCUUGCUACUGAUCUUAGCGGCGGACGGGUGAGUAAUGCUUAGGAAUCUGCCUAUUAGUGGGGGACAACAUUUCGAAAGGAAUGCUAAUACCGCAUACGUCCUACGGGAGAAAGCAGGGGAUCUUCGGACCUUGCGCUAAUAGAUGAGCCUAAGUCGGAUUAGCUAGUUGGUGGGGUAAAGGCCUACCAAGGCGACGAUCUGUAGCGGGUCUGAGAGGAUGAUCCGCAACACUGGGACUGAGGCACGGCCCAGACUCCUACGGGAGGCAGCAGUGGGGAAUAUUGGACAAUGGGCGCAAGCCUGAUCCAGCCAUGCCGCGUGUGUGAAGAAGGCCUUAUGGUUGUAAAGCACUUUAAGCGAGGAGGAGGCUACUUUAGUUAAUACCUAGAGAUAGUGGACGUUACUCGCAGAAUAAGCACCGGCUAACUCUGUGCCAGCCGCCGCGGUAAAAC
rnacentral:rRNA from 1 species